CCUUAUCUUUUCGUUUUCAUUAUUAAGAUAAAAUGUUUUGAGUUUAUAUUAUUUAGUAUGUUUUUCAUAUUUUGUUUUGUUUGACAAACUCACAAUGCUUCUUGUUAACGCAUCGUGAGUUUGAGGGUAGGUGUUAAGAUAAUAAGUUGUUGGGCUUUAUAUUAUUGGCUCAUUAGGUUUAUAGUCCAUUAGGUUUUGCUAUAUAAUCUCUUGUAACUCUGUUUUAUCAAGUAAUGCAAUUCUAAUUUUAUGUAACCCUAGUUGCCUCCUUUGUUAUUCUUAGUUUGUAUCUUUGAUUCUAACAUGGUAUCAAGAGCAAGGUUCAAUCCACCUUGAACUCUUUGUCAGUUUCGUUGUUUAGUUCCCAAAAAAUUUGGGAAUGUGUUUGCUUUGCUCUUUGAGGAUUGAUUGUUGUUGUGCUUAUGCUGGAGAUCGGAAGGUUGUCUCUUUUAUUGUGCUUGUUAUUUUGUUGCGGACAUCUUAUAGAUUUGAUGGUAGCUUCCUCUGUUUUUCUCCAAUAAGUUCACUUUGGAUUGGAACAAUUUGGUUUGGUAAAGUUUGGAUUUGGUUAGCUUGGACUGAAUUGGAUAAAAUGGAUGUUAGCUUGGUUUGAUUUGAUUCUCCUCUCUAUCUCUGAAGGUUCCUCUUUUGGUACUAUCUGUGGCUCUUGGUUAUGAUAUUAGUUGAUUUAGUUUAAUUUUAUGAGUUAAUUUUGUAACAAGCUUAAAAGCUUAGUAAGCUUUAGCUUGAGGGGUAGUAUUAAGAUAAAAUUUUUGAGUUUAUAUUAUUUAGUAUGUUUUUCGUAUUUUGUUUUGUUUGACAAACUCACAAUGCUUCUUGUUAACGCAUCGUGAGUUUGAGGGUAGGUGUUAAGAUAAUAAGUUGUUGGGCUUUAUAUUAUUGGCCCAUUAGGUUUAUAGUCCAUUAGGUUUUGCUAUAUAAUCUCUUGUAACUCUGUUUUAUCAAGUAAUGCAAUUCUAAUUUUAUGUAA